GCACGUGCAUGGAGCCCACGCUUGCAUCUGCAUUCUUUUGUUCUUAUCGUGCAGGUUAUCGGGCUCAAGGGGGUUUAUUGCUGAAGCAUUGUCCUAAGUGCAAUUUAGCUGACAAGUUUACUUCAGCAAAAGUUGCUAUUUCAGAAGCCUGAAUGACUAAUAUAAUAUUGUGAAAGACUAUUUUGUUACAGAAUAAACAAAAAUCUCAAACAUUCUAUUUGCUUUGGAAUUUGGCGGGAUUUCAGAAUCUCAGUCACUACAGAGUGUGUUUGCAGAGUGUGGACUGGAGAUGUUUUUUGAAGCAGCUCUAUAAUAGUCCUUACAGCUGUUAACAGUUCAUAGGAUAAUAGUAACAUUAUUCAUCGCUAUUCAAAUGUGCAUGACUUACAUUUCAGAGAAGUCAGGUUUAGAGAAUGUCAGGAUUUUCCUGAAACAUUUCCAAUGAGAUCUUCAAUAAACUGCGAACUAAUUUCCUUUCAUUGGCAAAAAUUAGCAUGCAAUGCAUUGUGUUGCUGUAAUUACUUAUAGUUCUUUAUGAAAGUUUUCUUUGUGCAGAUGUAACCAGAGCUAUGUACUGUUUUGUUGCAUUCUAGAUUCUUCCGAAAAUGUCCUUGCCCUUCUUUAGAUUGAAAGGCAGCAGUCUGCUGAGUAUGUGCAAUGUUGGAACAAUUUCUUAUGCGUCGAAAUAUGUCAAAAAUGUUGAAAAGUACAUCUAGACAAUAAGACAGCUGAGCGAGUACAAAGUGCAACAAAAGUACUAAAGUUGAUGGUGCCAGACCUGCUAUUUCCAGCAUUUGUAUCUUCAGGGUGAGGCUCGGUUGAACGCAGCUGCCAACAGUUUGUUGUCUAUCAAAUGUGGAAGAAUGUCAGUCCUUAAAUGUACAUCGUCAAAGGCAGCCAAGCAGCAAGAUCAUUAAAUCCCGCUGCCAAGGAGGAGAGAGGGGGGAAAGAACUCCAUGAUUUUCAGAAAGGGUCAUUGAUGUCCUAAAAGAGAGCUUCAUGCCAAAAGGGAUGUCUUCUGCACCGUGGUAACUGAAACCGUCACAGCUGCCAUUUGGAGGAGUCUACCAAGCUCAUUUGGAGGAGUCUACCAAGUAUUGUCUCGUCAAGGAGUGAAAAUCAUCAGAUUACGAAGCAAUGCUACAAGAAAUCUGAUGACCUGAUUAGAGACGUCAAAUGGCGCAGCGGCAGAGUUGCUGCAUUACAGCACCGGGUGCUCCAGUUUUCUCCUUCAUCAUAAAGACAUUCAGGUAGGUUAAUUGACGUCUGUAAAUCGUUCUUAGUGUGUCGGAUAGAACUAGUAUAUGGGUGAUCAUGGUCGGUGUGGACUCGGUGGGCCGAAGGGCCAGUUUCCACGCUGUAUAUCUAAACUAAACUUUUCUACCUGUAAUAAAAAGGAACUGCAGAUGCUGGUCUAUACCAAAGAUAGACACAAAUGCUGGAGCAACUUAGCAGGUCACGCAGCAUCUCUGGAGAAAAUUAAUAGGUGACGUUUUGGGUUGGUUCUGAAGUAGGCUCCCAACCGGAAACAUCAUCUAUCCAUUUUCUAUAGAGAUGCUGCGUGACCUGCAGAAUUACUCCAGCGUUUUGUAUCUCUCUUUGCUUUUCUACCUGUCUUUGUGUCCUCUGCAGAUUUUGCAACCACAACUUUCUCUGUUUCAAAUAAAUCAUUUGUGUAAAUUGUAAAAGGUUAAGGCAUUAUUCCUUGUGGCUGUAACACUAUAUUCUACCCUUGGGUAUUUUUCUCUUUAACCUACCUGUUGUAAUGGUUUGAUUGUACGCAUAUAUAGUAUGAGUGGAUAACACACAAAGUUUUUUUUACUGUAAUGGCAAAUCGUGUGCACGUGACGAUCGUAAUAAAUCAAUACCAAAGCAUGCCUAUUGCCUGUUUUCUGUUAGUCAUUCAAUCAUGUUCGGGCCAACAUGUUGGCUCUAAUGCUGAGUUUUUAUUUUCCACAAUAACCUUUGAUGCAGCAUAUUAUCAAAUGCCUCAUGGAAAUCUAAACCUAGCGCAGUCUGUGUUUUCCCUUUAUCUGCAGCACUUCAAAGAAGUCAAUAACUUAGUCAUACAUGAUUUUCCUUUCCCUUUUCUGCACUACUUUGAAUUUUUUGUGUCCUGCUAUAAUGUCUGUAAUAACAACUUCUAACAUUUUCCUGUGACAGGUGUUAAGCUAGAAUUCCACGACUCGUCUGUGUGGAAGUACUUUCUGAUCUCACUCUUAAAUGAACACACUAAUUUUAAUGUCCUCUCGUUCUUAAUGCCCUCAGAAAAGAAAAUAAUUUCUCUGCAAUUACUCUUAUCAAAUCCUGUAAUCAAUUCGAAGAUCUUCUUUUUCCAGUAACACAGUUUUCAUAAGAGAUUUGAACAUUUAUAUAUCAGUAACAUAACAAUGGUUAAAUAGAAACUUGAGUGAUUUGACCCAUUUCAUGGACUUGUUUGGUGAGUUGUGUUUAUAGGGGAAUGUCAGGAUUAUUAAUCCCAGAUAUUUAACAAAAGAACAUAUGAAAUGGAUUCGGAGGUAUAGGCCAUUUGGUCGCUCAUGCCUGCUGAGUCACUGCUGAGUAAUUUUACAUCUUUUUCUCAGGGUGGAAAUGUCAAACUUUAGAGAACUGUACAAUUAAUGUGCCUGUUUCCACACUGUAUCUCUCCAAAUAAACUAAACUAAACUAAACGGACAUAGCCUAAAAAGGCCAGAGGAGGAAUGUGAGGAUGUGUGGGACAUGUUUUUAUUUUAACACAGAGAGUGGUGGGCACCUAAAACGUGCUCCUAGAUGUGAUGAAACGGAUGCGAUAAUGAAAUUUAAGAGGCUUUUAGACAUAUGGACAUGCAGGGAAUGACAGCAUAAGAAUCACAUGCAUGCAGCGAUUAGUUUAACUUGGUAUCAUUUUCAGCACACACAUUAUGGGCAUAAGGCCCGUUUCUGUGCUACAAUGUUCUGAGAACAUAAUAAUUGAUCUUUUACCUCAGUCCCAUUUUCCUGUUGCUAUCCUAUAUCCGUUGAAACCUUAUCGAAGAUAGAAAUGAAACUAAACUCGAGGAUAGAAAUGAAACUCAGCAACUAAAUUUCUGCAGCUCUCUUAGGGUGUGAAGUCCAAGUAUUACUCUCUGGGUGAAGAAUUUUCUGCUCUCUCAUUCUUUAAACUCUAGGGAAUAUGGCCACUGAAUCUCUCUUCAUAGGCUAAUCCCUUCACCCCCGGAAACAAUCAAGUAUAUAAGAAUUUAGGAGAUUGAGAGGGGAUCUUAUAGAAACUUACAAAAUUCUUAAGGGGUUGGACAGGCUAGAUGCAGGAAGGUUGUUCCCGAUGUUGGGGAAGUCCAGGACAAGGGGUCACAGCUUAAGGAUAAGGGGGGAAAUCCUUUAAAACCGAGAUGAGGAGAACUUUUUUCACACAGAGAGUGGUGAAUCUCUAGAACUCUCUGCCACAGAGGGUAGUUGAGGCCAGUUCAUUGGCUAUAUUUAAGAGGGAGUUAGAUGUGGCCAAGGGGAUCAGAGGGUAUGGAGAAAAGGCAGG